rnacentral:rRNA from 1 species
UUAAAUUGAAGAGUUUGAUCAUGGCUCAGAUUGAACGCUGGCGGCAGGCCUAACACAUGCAAGUCGAACGGUAACAGGAAGCAGCUUGCUGCUUCGCUGACGAGUGGCGGACGGGUGAGUAAUGUCUGGGAAACUGCCUGAUGGAGGGGGAUAACUACUGGAAACGGUGGCUAAUACCGCAUAACGUCGCAAGACCAAAGAGGGGGACCUUUGGGCCUCUUGCCAUCAGAUGUGCCCAGAUGGGAUUAGCUUGUUGGUGAGGUAACGGCUCACCAAGGCGACGAUCCCUAGCUGGUCUGAGAGGAUGACCAGCCACACUGGAACUGAGACACGGUCCAGACUCCUACGGGAGGCAGCAGUGGGGAAUAUUGCACAAUGGGCGCAAGCCUGAUGCAGCCAUGCCGCGUGUAUGAAGAAGGCCU